AGCGUGGAGACAGGUGGUGCAUGGCUGUCGUCAGCUCGUGUCGUGAGAUGUUGGGUUAAGUCCCGCAACGAGCGCAACCCUCACCCCUUGUUGCUACCAGGUAAAGCUGGGCACUCUAGGGGAACUGCCCCGGUCAACGGGGAGGAAGGCGGGGAUGACGUCGAGUCAUCAUGCCCCUUACGUCCUGGGCUACACACGUGCUACAAUGGCCGGUACAAAGGGAUGCCACACCGCGAGGUAGAGCUAAACCCAAAAAGCCGGUCUAAGUUUAGAUUGGAGUCUGCAACUCGACUCCAUGAAAGAGGAAUCGCUAGUAAUCGCGUAUCAGCACGACGCGGUGAAUACGUUCCCGGGCCUUGUACACACCGCCCGCCACACCACGAAAGCCUGCUGUACUCGAAGUCGCUGAG
rnacentral:rRNA from 1 species